rnacentral:lncRNA from 1 species
AGAUAGUUUUGUAGAUAUCCAUUAUACCUUUCGAAUAAAAGUAAAAUAUCAAUUCAUGCUCUCUUAUGCAUAAUGAUUUAGGCAUCUUUUCUGAAACUUUAGUGCAUGAGGUAGCCAACAGGGACGGACAAGGCUCCUCAAUCGUAAAGGGAAGGCACCUUCUUUUUGGAUGAGACAGAUGGGACUUUAAUGGACAAACAUAGACUGAAAAUUUGUGGAUAUACAUAUGUUUGGGAUGAUAUUAUUGGCUCCGUACAGAUUUGUUUGUAGAAGCAUAACGAC